rnacentral:tRNA from 3 species
GCGGGUGUAGCUCAGUGGUAGAGCACAACCUUGCCAAGGUUGGGGUCGAGAGUUCGAAUCUCUUCACCCGCUCCA